AUUGAACGCUGGCGGCAUGCCUUACACAUGCAAGUCGAACGGUAACAGGUCUUCGGUUGCUGACGAGUGGCGAACGGGUGAGUAAUACAUCGGAACGUGCCCGAGAGUGGGGGAUAACGAGGCGAAAGCUUUGCUAAUACCGCAUACGAUCUCUGGAUGAAAGCAGGGGACCGCAAGGCCUUGCGCUCACGGAGCGGCCGGUGGCAGAUUAGGUAGUUGGUGGGAUAAAAGCUUACCAAGCCGACGAUCUGUAGCUGGUCUGAGAGGACGACCAGCCACACUGGGACUGAGACACGGCCCAGACUCCUACGGGAGGCAGCAGUGGGGAAUUUUGGACAAUGGGCGCAAGCCUGAUCCAGCCAUGCCGCGUGCAGGAUGAAGGCCUUCGGGUUGUAAACUGCUUUUGUACGGAACGAAAAGACUCUGGUUAAUACCUGGGGUCCAUGACGGUACCGUAAGAAUAAGCACCGGCUAACUACGUGCCAGCCGCCGCCGUAAGAC
rnacentral:rRNA from 1 species